rnacentral:lncRNA from 1 species
AGGAAGACCCUGGCCUCCAUCUUGAAAACGGAAAAUAAAAACAGCAGACCUAUGAAGGUCGAAGGGGAAGAAAAGCUGUAUCGAUUGUUGAGAUCUGGCGACUUGUUUAAAUUUCAUCAGCCUCACUUCUAUGAACUCUCAGGGUCCUCGUAAGAACUUCCAUUUUAUGUUCUUGUCUUCUCAUCAGUUUGAGUUGUGUCUUUAACAUUGGAGAGAAAAACAACUUGCAAGAUUUUCUUUCAGUAUGAACCAUUCUGAGGUCCUUCAAUUCUUUAGCUGAUUACCAACUCCUACCACUGUUAACCCUCAUCCAGGAACAAGCUUAUGUCUUUAACAUUCUGAGUGGGCUUCAGCAUCCUUGCAUAUGUUCAAUUCUUAAAAACCUGUUGAAAUAAAAGAUCAGGAGACAUAGGAAGGAUGCCAGAAGAGAGCGUGGCCUCACGUGUACCAGCUCUCUGCUCUCCUUUGCCUUGGGACGUUCCAUCCCUGGAAGUUUCCCUGCCCACAUCUUUGUAGAGAGUCCAUUCUCCAAGCUUCAGUGUGUCAUCUGUGAGGACCGUGACCCACCUGGUACAUCGCCUCAGGGCAUUCAUUUCAGGCUCCUUCUAAAUGGCCAAGAGACAACACCAACAUUUUUGUAAUGGCCUGCAAGGCCUUCCGAGAUCUACCUCCUGCAACUCAGCUUCUCCUGUGCUCUCCUUCUGGACUCACUCUGCCUCAGCAACACUGGUCCCUGUUGCCCCACCAAUAUGCCAGGUAAACCUCAGGUUCUCCUCCUGCCUUUUGCUAAGUAUAUGUCUUGAUGACAAGCCUUCUGCUGAUGAGCUGUGUUUCUGGACCGAUCAUGGUAGAAGUCAAUUAACGUGUCCCUCACUUGGGGUUUCUCAAGGCUGCACUGAUGAGGAAACUGAAACAGAAAAUCCAGAGUAAAUUCCACCAGGCCACACAGCAAGGUCUGAUAGAGCCAGGAGAGACUUUAUGAAAUCCAGACUCUCACACUAAUGCUCUAUCAGCUAGACCUCCAUGUGAGUCUCCCCAAUGUAGGUAGGAAGUGCUUUCCCUAAAAUGCUCAUAAAGCAAAUCAGAGCAAUGCUGCAUUCCAUGUGAUUUCUAAUUUGAAAUGCAAACAAUUGCCAAUUUGUUUGACUUGUAUUUAUAAUUAUUUCCUUGUGAAUUACUCAUCACUAAAUGCUUUAUAAAUAUUUUCUCUUUUUUUCCUCAAUGUCUAUGGAAUGAUCACAGCAUAGAAAAUGUUGGCUUUCAAGGAUUUAUUAAUAUCUCCUUUUGAAAUAACAUGUAUUUGUAAGACAGAAUAAAAUCACUUUAAAGAAACAAAUCUUGAAUUUGA